rnacentral:rRNA from 1 species
GAUGAACGCUGGCGGCGUGCCUAAUACAUGCAAGUCGAACGAAACUUCUUUAUCACCGAGUGCUUGCACUCACCGAUAAAGAGUUGAGUGGCGAACGGGUGAGUAACACGUGGGCAACCUGACCAAAAGAGGGGGAUAACACUUGGAAACAGGUGCUAAUACCGCAUAACCAUAGUUACCGCAUGGUAACUAUGUAAAAGGUGGCUAUACUACCGCUUUUGGAUGGGCCCGCGGCGCAUUAGCUAGUUGGUAGGGUAAAGGCUUACCAAGGCAAUGAUGCGUAGCCGAAUUGAGAGGUUGAUCGGCCACAUUGGGACUGAGACACGGCCCAAACUCCUACGGGAGGCAGCAGUAGGGAAUCUUCCACAAUGGGCGAAAGCCUGAUGGAGCAACGCCGCGUGGGUGAAGAAGGUCUUCGGAUCGUAAAACCCUGUUGUUAGAGAAGAAAGUGCGUGAGAGUAACUGUUCACGUUUCGACGGUAUCUAACCAGAAAGCCACGGCUAACUACGUG